rnacentral:rRNA from 1 species
GUCUCGUCUGCUGGAAUGCAUCGAGAUCCAAAGCUCCGGCGCUAAGGAUGGGUCUGCGGCCUAUCAGGUAGUAGUGGGUGUAGCGUACCUACUAGCCUACGACGGGUACGGGUUGUGAGAGCAAGAGCCCGGAGAUGGAUUCUGAGACACGAAUCCAGGCCCUACGGGGUGCAGCAGGCGCGAAAACUUUACAAUGCUGGGAACAGCGAUAAGGGAACCUCGAGUGCCAGGUUACAAAUCUGGCUGUCGUGAUGCCUAAAAAGCAUUAUAUAGCAAGGGCCGGGCAAGACCGGUGCCAGCCGCCGCGGUAACACCGGCGGCUCGAGUGGUAACCGUUAUUAUUGGGUCUAAAGGGUCUGUAGCCGGCCGGAUAAGUCUCUUGGGAAAUCUGGCAGCUCAACUGUCAGGCUUUCAGGGGAUACUGUCUGGCUCGAGGCCGGGAGAGGUGAGAGGUACUUCAGGGGUAGGGGUGAAAUCUUGUAAUCCUUGAAGGACCACCAGUGGCGAAGGCGUCUCACCAGAACGGACCUGACGGCAAGGGACGAAAGCUAGGGGCACGAACCGGAUUAGAUACCCGGGUAGUCCUAGCCGUAAACGAUACUCGCUAGGUGUCGGCCACGGUGCGACCGUUGUCGGUGCCGUAGGGAAGCCGUGAAGCGAGCCACCUGGGAAGUACGGCCGCAAGGCUGAAACUUAAAGGAAUUGGCGGGAA